CGCAGGGUUGAGAAACGGCAUCUCGCGUGGCUCAUAACCACGAGACAGCGGGUUCGACUCCCGCCCUUGCAACCA
rnacentral:tRNA from 1 species